CAGAAGAUAGUUUAAAAAAUUUUAAUUUUGGAGAUUAAAGAUAAGAAAUUAUUUUCUUUCUUCUGA
rnacentral:tRNA from 1 species